UACGUAGGGGGCAAGCGUUGUUCGGAAUUACUGGGCGUAAAGCGCACGUAAGCGGAUCUUUAAGUCAGGGGUGAAAUCCUGGAGCUCAACUCCAGAACUGCCUUUGAUACUGGGGAUCUCGAGUCCGGAAGAGGUGAGUGGAACUCCGAGUGUAGAGGUGAAAUUCGUAGAUAUUCGGAAGAACACCAGUGGCGAAGGCGGCUCACUGGUCCGGUACUGACGCUGAGGUGCGAAAGCGUGGGGAGCGAACGGG
rnacentral:rRNA from 1 species